rnacentral:rRNA from 1 species
GAUGAACGCUGGCGGCGUGCUUAACACAUGCAAGUCGAACGGGAAUUAUUUUAUUGAAACUUCGGUCGAUUUAAUUUAAUUCUAGUGGCGGACGGGUGAGUAACGCGUGGGUAACCUGCCUUAUACAGGGGGAUAACAGUCAGAAAUGGCUGCUAAUACCGCAUCAGCGCACAGAGCUGCAUGGCUCAGUGUGAAAAACUCCGGUGGUAUAAGAUGGACCCGCGUUGGAUUAGCUGGUUGGUGGGGUAACGGCCCACCAAGGCGACGACCCAUAGCCGGCCUGAGAGGGUGAACGGCCACAUUGGGACUGAGACACGGCCCAGACUCCUACGGGAGGCAGCAGUGGGGAAUAUUGCACAAUGGGGGAAACCCUGAUGCAGCGACGCCGCGUGAAGGAAGAAGUAUCUCGGUAUGUAAACUUCUAUCAGCAGGGAAGAUAGUGACGGUACCUGACUAAGAAGCCCCGGCUAACUACGUG